GGAGGGAUACCGAAGCGGUCAUAACGGGCUGGUCUCGAAAACCAAGCGUGGGGUAACCUACACAGGGGUUCGAAUCCCCUUCCCUCCGCCA
rnacentral:tRNA from 1 species